rnacentral:lncRNA from 13 species
CCACGGGGUGCUCCCUUGAUUUGAUUCUCUACCCCUUCUUCUAGGGAUGGGGCUUCCUGAGAGCCGAUCUGAAGUGAUUUUUACUUCUCUUCUGGAAUUUAGCAGAUCUACCAGGCUCCACACUGAUACUGGGCAGUGUCUGCAGAGUUCUGUGAUUUGAUCCAUCUUCAGGUUUCUCAGCCAUGGAUACCAGCUUCUGCUCUGGUAGAAGUAAGCAAAGGAGUGAAACAGAUUCCGUGAGGGUCCUUGGUUUAUUUUUGCUAAGUGUGCUGGUUUUGUGUCAGUUAGUCUCCAGCCGGGAUGUGGCACUUUCAAGAGUGCAUCAACUGCAGUAGUAUAGAUAGGAUACAAGCUUGCCCUAGGGCCAGGCAUUGGGUGAGGUCAUAGAGCUCUCAAGACAUUAUGUCCUUGGUCUUCAACUACCAGGGUGGAUAGAGAAGAACUGUCAGGUAGGCACAGGGUUAAGGGUGUCUGAGAUCAGACUCUUUUUGGGUGGGGCUUGCUGCAGCAGCUGUGGUGUAUGGGGGUGUGGUUCUCAGGCCAAUGCAGUUCUGUUUCCAGAGGUAUUAUGGCUGCCUCUGCUGCAUCACAGAGGUCACCAAGGAAGUGGGAGAAAGCCAUCAGCCACAUGCUUCACCCAACUCUCACACAGCCUGCAGCCCGAAAGACUGGUCUUACUCCACCAUGCUCCCCCAAUGACACCAAGUUUAUUUCCAGGCAGCAGAUGAGCAAGGCUGAGAACGUGCCCCAGAGUACAAGUCUUACAACUAAGAAGAUACAUCGACUCACAGUUCCUUGGCUGUCCCAUGGAGCCAGCAGCAGCAAUCCCCCUCCUUCAAAGGAUAUAUGGAGUAUCUCAGCUUUCCUGAACCCCCAGAUGGGACCAUCUAGCUGCAGGAAAACAAGGUCAGGGCUCCCACAGAUUCUGCACUAUGCCCGUGGAAAAAUUGUCUUCCAUGAAACCUGUCCCUGGUGCCAAAAAGAUCGAGGACCACUGAUGUACAGUAUUGUUGUGAUUGGUCUUUGGUCCUAAGUUUUCAUCCUUGCUUAUUUCUUAUAUAUAUUACAAUAAAAAUGUCUACAG